rnacentral:tRNA from 1 species
AAGCCCAAGUGGAUAGAAGCACCAAAAUGCAAAUUUGGAGAAGCACCCUAACAGGUGCCGGGGCUUC